ACCAAUUCUAGCCCAACAUCUAUUCAUAUAAUUAUAUUUCCUCAUAAAACAAAACAUUCAUUACAUAAAAGUAUUGGAGAAAGAAAUUUAAAUAAGGAGCUAUAGAGAAAGUACCGUAAGGGAAAGAUGAAAGACAAAAUAUAAAGUAAAAAUGAGCAAAGAUUAAACCUUGUACCUUUUGCAUAAUGAAUUAACCAGAAACAUUCUAACUAAAAGAAUUAAAGCUAGAAACCCCGAAACCAAACGAGCUACCUAAAAACAAUUUUAUGAAUCAACCCGUCUAUGUAGCAAAAUAGUGGGAAGAUUUUUAGGUAGAGGUGAAAAGCCUAACGAGCUUGGUGAUAGCUGGUUACCCAAAAAAUGAAUUUCAGUUCAACUUUAAAUUUACUACAAGAACUAAAAUCUCAAUGUAAAUUUAAAUUAUAGCCAAAAGAGGGACAGCUCUUUAGGAAUGGAGAAAACCUUUAAUAGUGAAUAAACAUACUAAUAUUUAACCAUUGUAGGCCUAAAAGCAGCCAUCAAUAAAGAAAGCGUUCAAGCUCAACAUAAAAACCUAACUAAUUCCAAAAUUCCAUUAAAUUCCUAAACUACAAAUUGGGUAAUUCUAUAAAUUUAUAGAAGAAAUAAUGUUAAUAUGAGUAACAAGAAUUCAUUCUCCAAGCACAAAUGUAUAACAACUCGGAUAACCAUUGUUAGUUACAUCAGACUAUAGACUAAAUUCAUUAAAUGAACUUACCUAAAUUUCACCUGUUGGCCCAACACAGGAGUGCUUUAAGGAAAGAUUAAUCAAAAUAAAAGGAACUCGGCAAACCAGGACCCCGCCUGUUUACCAAAAACAUCACCUCUAGCAUUACAAGUAUUAGAGGCACCGCCUGCCCAGUGACUACAGUUAAACGGCCGCGGUAUCCUGACCGUGCAAAGGUAGCAUAAUCACUUGUUCCUUAAUUAGGGACUUGUAUGAAUGGCUGAACGAGGGUCCAACUGUCUCUUAUUUUUAAUCAGUGAAAUUGACCUUCCAGUGAAGAGGCUGGAAUAACUAAAUAAGACGAGAAGACCCUAUGGAGCUUAAAUCUAUAAACUUAUUUACCAACUUACUCCCCUAAUGGAACAAAAACGAUAUUAUAAGUUUAAGAUUUCGGUUGGGGUGACCUCGGAGAACAAAAAAUCCUCCGAACGAUUAUAACUUAGACCAACAAGUCAAAGUAACUUAACUUUCUAAUUGACCCAAAAUAAUUUGAUCAACGGACCAAGUUACCCUAGGGAUAACAGCGCAAUCCUAUUUAAGAGUUCAUAUCGACAAUAGGGUUUACGACCUCGAUGUUGGAUCAGGACAUCCCAAUGGUGCAGAAGCUAUUAAUGGUUCGUUUGUUCAACGAUUAAAGUCCUACGUGAUCUGAGUUCAGACCGGAGAAAUCCAGGUCGGUUUCUAUCUAUUAACAAUUUCUCCCAGUACGAAAGGAUAAGAGAAAUAGAGCCACCUUUACAUAAGCGCUCUUAACUAAAUUUAUGAAUAAAUCUCAAUAAAAUAAAUAUGUAAAAACUAAAUUACCUAGACCAGGUC
rnacentral:rRNA from 1 species